CUCUCUUUCUCUUUCGCUCUCCCCGGUACACGUAUACGCGUAUAUGAGGGUUAUUUAUUAUUUUUUUUUUUUUUCAAAUCGAACCCGAUGAUGUUUAGCCGUAUACGUACACACACGAGGGGAGAUUCGAUCGCAUAACGAUGACGCCCUGUCAAUCGCACAUUAAACGCACGUAUAUGUAUACACAUGCGAGUACAGUGUGUACUAAACGUAUACCACCGCCGCCCCAGCAACGUGAAAUUUUAUUGAUAAAGUUUCGGGGACGAAUGCCAAAAGUCGGCAUAAAUCAUUCAGAUUUAAUACGCCG